rnacentral:rRNA from 1 species
GUGAACGCUAGCGGCGUGCCUUAAGCAUGCAAGUCGAACGAUCUGAUUUAUCAGUUAGUGGCGGACGGGUGAGUAAUACCUAGGAAUCUACCCAAAAGUGUGGAAUAACCUCUCGAAAGAGGGGCUAAUACCGCAUGUGGAUGCAAGUCUAAAGCCCUUUACCGGGCGCUUUUGGAGGAGCCUAGGUCCCAUCAGCUUGUUGGUAGGGUAAAAGCCUACCAAGGCUAUGACGGGUAGCUGGUCUGAGAGGAUGAUCAGCCACAAUGGCACUGAGACACGGGCCAUACAUCUACGGAUGGCAGCAACUGGGAAUCUUUGGCAAUGGGCGAAAGCCUGACCAAGCGACGCCGCGUGGAGGAUGAAGGCCUUCGGGUUGUAAACUCCUUUUGCCAUAACACCACGUUAUGGAGAAUAAGCACCUGCUAACUACGU